GGUAAACACCGUCAGCUAGAAUUACUAGCGGACGUAUUAAUGAUAAAUUUUGGACACUUAUGCCCUCCAAUUAGCUAAGACAAAUACAGAAACUACACAAUCUGCUAGACAUUCUAGCGGACGGAUGAAAAUCACAAUACAGGUCUUGCAAUCGUCCCUAGUUCUGCGACCCAUUUCUAUCUUCGAUCUUAGAAAUCUAUCUGUGUGGAAACUUUUCUUGAAUAAGGAAAGAUUAGAUCUUGGUGCCUCUAGUUCUGCGACUCAUUUCUAUCUUUGAUCUUAGAAAUCUAUUUGUGUGGAAACUUUUCUUGAAUAUGGAAAGAUUAGAUCUUGGUGCAGAGUAGCGAGAGAGGAGAAAGAUCUGAGAUGAGGAGAGAAGGUGUUGAUUGGUGCUUUACUUUUGGGACACGUCCAUUCUCCUACCGCAGUUUCCAUAGCUCGUUAUAGCUGCUGGGCGGUUUUUUUUUUUGUCUUUUUUUAUAUAUAUAAAUGAUAUUAAAUAUUUUGAUAAUAAUUUACUCCAUAGUCAGUGGAGGAUUCGUCCUAAUCGUGUGUACUGGGUUUUGUUGAGAUUUGUUUUGAAGUGUUAUGACUGAGGAAGGAAUUCAUGUGUACUGGGUUAACCACAGAUUUGUUUUGCAGUGUUAUGACUGAUACAGGAAUUCAUGUGUACUGGAUUUUGCUGAGAGUUG
rnacentral:lncRNA from 1 species